UGAUUCACUUCCCAAGACACUACAUUCUUUCAGUCAAGAGUGAAGAGACACCAUAUGAAGACCUCUGGUUACAAGGAGCGAGCAAUAUAACUGCAGCCUUUGAGAUCCCCUGAGACAUGGGGCUGGACAUGAAGGCAUUAAGCCUUUCACUUACGUUGCUGUCAUGCACUAAGUUGAUGAGUGUUUGUGGGGAAACAACCAAAGAAGCCACAUGCGCUGAAAGAGGUGGAUAUUGCGUGUCCAUGGAAGAUUACACAUGUUUUGACGAAAUUGAAGCCCCAGGCUGCAAAGAAGAUGAGAUAUGCUGUAGCAAUGAUUUCUAUCAUCUAAUCU